CAACGAGUGUCCUGCGGAGGCUGCUCUCACCUUCUUGCUGGUUGUGGACCAGGGCACGAUGGCGCUCAGUACCCUGGCAACGGCUACGUGACCAUUCUUAGCGGCCAAGUGCAGUGCAGUGUCCCCGUCCUUAGGCGACAACAAGAGAAGCCGACACGUUAGAGGGCUUUACACGCGGGCUUGACUCGACUGCGCCCGGCUUUCUUCUUCAUCCACCAUGGCUUCACCCUCCAUGUCGAUGCUGCGCUGUCUGCUGAUGGUCGUGCUGCUGGCGGGGUACGGUGGCGUACUGACACCGGCAAACUGCCAUGACUUUGCCCUAUGCGGCGAAACGUGCGGCGGCUUUGUGGUAGUGGCGUGUGCGCCACCGUGCGAGUGCGUCAAUUUUGAUGGCGACUACGGCAUAUGCAUGCCAAUCGA
rnacentral:lncRNA from 1 species